rnacentral:rRNA from 1 species
AGCUCUUUGGUAUUAUGAAAGGUAUAGCCUGCCCAGUGGGAUCUCAACGGCUGCAGUAUAUUGACUGUACAAAGGUAGCAUAAUCACUUGCCUUGUAAUUAGGGGCUGGAAUCAAUGGCUGGACGAGAGCUUAACUGUCUCAUUCAUACACCUAAAAACUUACCUCCAAGUGAAAAGGCUUGGAUACUAUAAAAGGACAAGAAGACCCUAUUGAGCUUUAGAGAAUUAACUUAUAACAACAGUUAUUAAAUACAAGUGUCAUUAAGUAAGUAACUUUGAUUGGGGCAAUCGAAGUACAGUAUGAACCACUUCUUAGAGAUUUACUCAUGAGUAUAGUCAUAACUAAAGAUGAUCCUACAAUUAAGAUCGGAAGAAUAAGUUACCAUAGGGAUAACAGCAUAAUUUCUCCAGAGAGCUCUCAUCGAAGGAGAAGUUUGUGACCUCGAUGUUGGACUAAGAUAUCCUAUAGGUGUAGAAGUCUAUAAUGGUAGGCCUGUUCGGCCUUUAAAAUCUUACAU